CNCCGUAAACGAUGAGUGCUAGGUGUUAGGCCCUUUCCGGGGCUUAGUGCCGCAGCUAACGCAUUAAGCACUCCGCCUGGGGAGUACGACCGCAAGGUUGAAACUCAAAGGAAUUGACGGGGGCCCGCACAAGCGGUGGAGCAUGUGGUUUAAUUCGAAGCAACGCGAAGAACCUUACCAGGUCUUGACAUCCCGAUGCCCGCUCUAGAGAUAGAGUUUUACUUCGGUACAUCGGUGACAGGUGGUGCAUGGUUGUCGUCAGCUCGUGUCGUGAGAUGUUGGGUUAAGUCCCGCAACGAGCGCAACCCUUAUUGUUAGUUGCCAUCAUUCAGUUGGGCACUCUAGCGAGACUGCCGGUAAUAAACCGGAGGAAGGUGGGGAUGACGUCAAAUCAUCAUGCCCCUUAUGACCUGGGCUACACACGUGCUACAAUGGCUGGUACAACGAGUCGCAAGUCGGUGACGGCAAGCUAAUCUCUUAAAGCCAGUCUCAGUUCGGAUUGUAGGCUGCAACUCGCCUACAUGAAGUCGGAAUCGCUAGUAAUCGCGGAUCAGCACGCCGCGGUGAAUACGUUCCCGGGCCUUGUACACACCGCCCGUCACACCACGAGAGUUNGUAACACCCGAAGUCGGUGAGGUANCCUUUUAGGAGCCA
rnacentral:rRNA from 1 species